rnacentral:misc_RNA from 1 species
UCUUUUAUCUCCCCCUUCCCAAUCACUUCUUUCCUUCUUUAUUUUUAUCAAGUUUCUAUAAUUAUUCUUUGUAUAGAACACAAUCUUGGCGGCUUUUGAUAUCCUCUCCCCCUGUGGUGUAAUUCUUUUCCAAACUCGUAAUGGCCUCUAAUUGCGUAUAUUUAAGUUUCUUUCAUACUUUUUACAAAGGAAGAACGGAAUGGAUAUGUGAUAUAAACGAGGGUUGGUAAAAAUAUGAUUUUUGGAGGCUGUUGAUAGUGUUAAUAUUAUUGUAGUUUCUAGAAAUUUAUGCUAAUUCUGAACGUAACCCCAUUGUAUUUGAAACUCCUAGAGGAUUGAUUAAUUGAUUGAUUGAUAAAUUAUGUGUUUAUUUGAAAGCUGAACUUCUAUUUACUUUCUGGUGGUUCCAUCUAGGAAUACAAUG